rnacentral:tRNA from 7 species
GGAGAGGUGGCCGAGUCUGGUUUAAGGCGCACGCCUGGAAAGUGUGUGUACCUCAACGGGUACCGGAGGUUCGAAUCCUCUCCUCUCCGCCA